rnacentral:rRNA from 1 species
AACUUUUAACAACGGAUCUCUUGGCUCUCGCAUCGAUGAAGAACGCAGCGAAAUGCGAUAAGUAAUGUGAAUUGCAGAAUUCAGUGAAUCAUCGAAUCUUUGAACGCACCUUGCGCUCCUUGGUAUUCCGAGGAGCAUGCCUGUUUGAGUGUCAUGA